rnacentral:rRNA from 1 species
UACGUAGGGUGCAAGCGUUGUCCGGAAUUAUUGGGCGUAAAGAGCUCGUAGGCGGUUUGUCGCGUCGAAUGUGAAAUCCCGGGGCUCAACCCCGGAACUGCACUCGAUACUGCCGUGCUCGAGUACUGGAGAGGAGACUGGAAUUUACGGUGUAGCAGUGAAAUGCGUAGAUAUCGUAAGGAAGACCGGUGGCGAAAGCUAGUCUCUGGACAGUCACUGACACUGAGGCACGAAGGCCAGGGGAGCAAACGGG